GCUGCAGCCGCUGGAGUCGCUCCGGUUCUACCUCCCCUCCCCGGUCAAAGAUGACAUCAUCCGUAGUAGAAGAAAGCUCGUGCAACAGGGUGUGGAUGUGAGCAGAGUGAAAAUCAAAUCAUUUAUAUCUGACAGGGGUUCGGGAGCUCGGAGGGACCACAAGAGGACCCUUAAGAGUCAGCGAUAGCAGGACCUUGUCAUGUCUCUGACUCGUAACCCGCCAGAGGGAUGACAAACACGGUAAUGUCAUCGCCCGAGCCCAGUCUCUCAUUGGGUAGCCGCCAGCCACGCUCCUUGAGGACUCCUCGAGACCUCAUCAGCAGGUCCUGGGCUGCCAGUGUGUACCUGUGUGACACACAAAACAGUGAUUACAAAAGUACCAUUAACCACAGCUUUCUAUGCACUGAGGAGACCAUAAAGCCUCUUGAACAUUUCCCUGUGUGCUUAAUGUAGCAAAGAAAACAGAAGACUACCAGGUACUGCAGCCGCUGCCUCUCCGACUCAGAUUGUCAGUCAUCAUCUUCUCACCAUCUGUGAGAAGGCCGUCUCUAUGACUCCCAUCACCAGGCUCUGCAGGCUCACCACCUUCUCCAUGUGAAAGCGAACUGUUGAGUCGUUGACAGCAUCCGAAUCUUCAGGUUCCUGCGCAGCUCCUUUCUUUGAGUCCGCUUGGUACGGGCUGCCAUUUUUGGCCAGGCAAAUAGGAGGUGCAUUGUUGGGGUUCUCCAGCAGGUGGCAGACUUCCCCCAGACGAUCUCGGAUGAGGAGGUGGAGGAGCUUGGAGGCCAUGAUGGCAGCUCCAGAGCCUGCAUGUCCAUCAAACACGCCCCAGAAGUGGAGAGGGAUUCCUGUUCCAUCCUACAAUGAAACAAAAUAUAAAAAUAAAUACAUGAUUGAUCAAUUCAGCAAAAAAAAAUGAAGCAAGGACAUAACAACAAACACGGUUCUGGUUUUCAAAUGUCCAGUGAAAUUCUAAUCUUGAGGAGAAGACACAGAUUUGUUUGGGUUCAUCAGCAAUGAGACUAGUGCUGUCAACAUUUUUUAAUGCUGAGAAAUAUGAUUCCUCCAUUCAGAGUUAAUCUAGAUUAUCAUGCAAGGGCAAAGUUAAUGGACGAGUGAAGUACAAACAUUUUUUUAAUUUAAGUAAAAAGGUAAACAGUAAAAUAGUGUUUGGUGUAUCUGUCCUGACCGGAUCUAAAAAGUGAUUAAAAUUUUCUCCUCUUGCCUCA